rnacentral:rRNA from 1 species
AAUUGAAGAGUUUGAUCCUGGCUCAGAUUGAACGCUGGCGGCAUGGCUAAAACAUGCAAGUCGAACGAGAACCCCUUCGGGGGGGACAGUGGCGAAAGGGCGAGUAACGCGAUCGAACGUACCCCGAGGUGGGGGAUAGCGACGGGAAACUGUCGGUAAGACCCCAUGUGCUCUACGGAGGAAAGGUUUACCGCCUCGGGAGCGGCGAUCGUCCUAUCAGGUAGUUGGUGAGGUAAAGGCUCACCAAGCCGAAGACGGGUAGCGGGUGUGAGAGCACGACCCGCCGCAUCGGGACUGAGACACUGCCCGGACUCCUACGGGAGGCUGCAGUAACGAAUCUUCCGCAAUGGGCGCAAGCCUGACGGAGCAAUGCCGCGUGCAGGAUGAAGCGUCUUCGACGUGUAAACUGCUGUCAGGGUUUAGGAACAAUGACCAGACCCAGAGGAAGGGCCGGCUAACUCUGUGCCAGCAGCCGCGGUAAUACAGAGGGCCCGAGCGUUAGUCGGAAUUACUGGGCUUAAAGGGUGCGCAGGCGGAUCGGCAGGCAUCUUGUGAAAUCCCCCGGCUCAACCGGGGAAUUGCGGGGUGAACCGCCGGUCUUGAGGCAGGUAGGGGCCAGUGGAACCAUGGGUGGAGCGGUGAAAUGCGUAGAUAUCCAUGGGAACGCCGAUGGCGAAGGCAGCUGGCUGGGCCUGUCCUGACGCUCAGGCACGAAAGCGUGGGGAGCAAACGGGAUUAGAUACCCCGGUAGUCCACGCCGUAAACGAUGUGCACUAGGUCGAGGUGGCUCUCACGCCUUCUCGGCCGAAGUAAAAACGUUAAGUGCACCGCCUGGGGAGUACGGUCGCAAGGCUAAAACUCAAAGGAAUUGACGGGGGCUCACACAAGCGGUGGAGCAUGUUGCUUAAUUCGAGGCAACGCGAAGAGAUUAACCUUUCGAAAGAUAGGCCACGCCUUCGGGUGGAACAUGCACAGGUGCUGCAUGGCUGUCGUCAGCUCGUGCUGUGAAGUGUCGGGUUAAGUCCCUUAACGAGCGCAACCCCUAUCGUUAGUUGCUAACGCGUCAUGGCGAGUACUCUAGCGAGACUGCCGGUGUCAAACCGGAGGAAGGUGGGGAUGACGUCAAGUCCUCAUGGCCCUUACAUCCAGGGAUGCAAACGUGCUACAAUGGUGUCGACAAAGCGAAGCAAGGCCGCGAGGCGGAGCAAAUCGCAAAAACGGCGCCCCAGUUCGGAUUGCAGGCUGCAACCCGCCUGCAUGAAGCCGGAAUCGCUAGUAAUCGCGCAUCAGCUACGGCGCGGUGAAUACGUUCCUGAGCCUUGUACACACCGCCCGUCACGUCAUGGAAGCCGGGAGCGCCCGAAGUCACGCUGAUUCAAGCGUGCCUACGGCGAGAUCGGUGACUGGGACGAAGUCGUAACAAGGUAGCCGUAGGAGAACCUGCGGCUGGAUCACCUCCUUUCUA